rnacentral:misc_RNA from 1 species
AAUGGCAUAACCAAAUAAUUGUUUAGCUACUGAUCGGAGUACGCCAAUUAACCCCCGCCCCACCAUAGAUUAACGAGUUCCAGACACUGAACGUAAUUACUACUAUUUAUACCCAAUUCAGCUAAAUCCAUAUAUAUUGUGGCGAGAAGAUCAACAUUGUUUGUAGGUACCAAAGUCUCAAGAAUCUGAUAGACAGAUUUUCCAUUUGGAAGUUCUACGCCAUUGCUAUUAAAUAAGGGGGUUAUAACUUUAUUGGUCAGUUGCUCCUUGAUUGUAUCCGAAACUGACUCAUCCACACGAUCUACGUAGUUCUCCAUGGUCAAAUUUCGCAGCCUGGAAACUCUCCAACUCGCUAGUAUGAAAAUAAAAGACGGUAAAGCAAGUCCGGAAAUUCUAUCAAUAAGAUAGUUUAGAACUAAAUCUGACAUACUCAUAGUGCAUUCCACUUUAAUGUAAAAGAAAUUCAAAUGUUAUAACUCCAGAUUCGGCACCGUCAUCAUUGUGC